AGGACGCUUCGGGUAAGGUUGCGGUCUAAUUCGCUUGGAACAGCGAGUCACAGAGGGUGAGAAUCCCGUCUAGGACCGUGAGCCGCGCCCGUGUGAAGCUCCUUCGACGAGUCGAGUUGUUUGGGAAUGCAGCUCUAAAUGGGUGGUAAAUUUCAUCUAAAGCUAAAUAUUGGCCAGAGACCGAUAGCGCACAAGUAGAGUGAUCGAAAGAUGAAAAGCACUUUGAAAAGAGAGUUAAACAGUAUGUGAAAUUGUUGAAAGGGAAGCGCUUGCAAUCAGACUUGCGUGUAACGGUUCCCCCGGUCUCUUGACCGGGUAACUCCGUUAUAUCCAGGCCAACAUCGGUUCGGGUGGUCGGUUAAAGACCCCGGGAAUGUAUCUACCCUCGGGUCGACUUAUAGCCCGGGGUGUAAUGCGGCCCACCCGGACCGAGGAACGCGCUUCGGCUCGGAUGUUGGCGUAAUGGUUGUAAGCGGCCCGUCUUGAAACACGGACCAAGGAGUCUAACAUCUAUGCGAGUGUUUGGGUGUUAAACCCCUACGCGUAAUGAAAGUGAACGGAGGUAAGAACCCGCUCAAACGGGUGCAUUAUCGACCGAUCCUGAUGUCUUCGGAUGGAUUUGAGUAAGAGCAUAGCUGUUGGGACCCGAAAGAUGGUGAACUAUGCCUGAAUAGGGNGAAGCCAGAGGAAACUCUGGUGGAGGCUCGCAGCGGUUCUGACGUGCAAAUCGAUCGUCAAAUUUGGGCAUAGGGGCGAAAGACUAAUCGAACCAUUAAGCAUCGCGGGGAACGGGGGGUUACCGGGUGGUUCUUCCACAGUCCUUCGGGGCUACAUCGUCCUUCUGGCGGGGAUCAACACCCGCAGCAGUUUCGGCUGUCCACAGACUAGGAGACGGUGGUCGUCUUGCCCGCAAGAGACGAUGAUGAUAUAGUCGGUUCGGUUAGGAUCCCUAACCGAGUUGAACGCUGGUAGCUGGUUCCUGUCGAAGUUUCCCUCAGGAUAGCAGUAACGUUUUCAGUUUUAUGAGGUAAAGCGAAUGAUUAGAGGCCUUGGGGUUGAAACAACCUUAACCUAUUCUCAAACUUUAAAUAUGUAAGAAGUCCUUGUUGCUUAAUUGAACGUGGACAUUUGAAUGUAUCGUUACU
rnacentral:rRNA from 1 species